UCAAUGUAACGCGCGGCGCUCGUCCACCCCGCGGCCAAGACCCCCUCUUCCUCACAGCCCGGCCAGGGUUCGAACGCUGCCUCCCACCUCCCGCACAGAUUUUCCACCAAAUUUGGGUCUUCCUCCCGCGCGACGCCCGCGAACUGCGUCCUCAGGCUGCCGCCGCAAUCCCGCCUGCCGCCUCCGGCCGCCGCCGCGGUGAACCCGGCCGCCUCCGCUUCGGCCGGCGGGAGGCCGCGGUAAACACGGCUGCCUCCGCUGAGGCCGGCGGGAGGCCGCGGUGACGCGACGCGCGCCGCCUUCCACCUCCGCUGAGGCCGCCGGGAGGCCGCGGUGGACGCGCGCCGCCUUCCACCUCCGCUGAAGCCGCCGGGAGGCCGCGGUGGACGCGCGCCGCCUUCCACCUCCAAGCGGGACAGGUAGAGGGACGCCGCCGCCGACCUCCAGGUCGGAUGCGGGAGAGGGAGACGGCGGACUGGGAUCCGCGACCCAAUCCCCUACGCCUACCAGGUCGUGGUUGCGGCCUUGGUUCGGGCGGGUGCCGCGGUUGGAGGGGAGGUGGAGCUCGAUUUGGAGGCUGCAGAGCUCGAUUCGUCGGCGGCGGAGGUCGAUUUGGUGGCGGCUGAGGUCGAUCCGGCAGCGGACCCGCAACUGGCCGAAUCCCGCCGCGGCGCAGCCGGCCGAGGCAAGGCCCUUCGCUGGCGGCGAAGGUGGGGGCACCCUGCCCCAAAGAGCGCCGCUGGCGAUUGCCGAGGUGACAUCAAGGCCCAAGGCAGCGGAGUGGGGAGGACCAGAUGUGGCAUAUGCACGGCAUAGGCAGCGGCCGUGGCGGCGUUCACUAGCAGUAGCUUGAAAGGGGGCAGGCAGCAACACUUGGGGGGUCGAUGCCGCCGGUCGCCGGCAACAAAGCCAAGCAAGGUCCCCGCUGCUCCACGCCUGCGUGCGACGCCCCGCCGCGGUGGCCUCCAUCUCCGCCAUGCUCGACGCCCCCGCCACGCGGCCACCCUCCCGCGCGGAUCCCCCAGGCUCGUGGGCCGCCUCCUCCACUGCAGCGCCGCCGGGGUCCUCCGCUGCGCUGCCGGGGCGCGAGCCCUCCUCUCCGCCUGGGCGGCCCCCUCCUUUCCUGUUCAAGCCUGAUUUGCAUGAUUUAGCACUUGUUCUGCAGUUUUGGAUUAAGGCAUUGGUGGCCCAAGCAAUUGAAGCCAAAAAAGUGAAGGAUCGGAGGGUGUUGGCAUGGCAUCAGUGGGGUGGACGUGGAUGAGGCCAUGCUGAGACUCAUGACUACUGCAUAUUGAAAAUAGAAGUUCAAUGCCUAUGGAGCAUCUAUUGAUGGUGCUCGCUGUUAAAAAGAUUUUGAUCCAAAUGACCGAUUGCUGAAAUCCAGAGUGCUUUGCCGGUUAAUCUCGUGGUGUGGCACUUAUAAGGAUGCUGCAUCAAAGAUGCUUGCUGACAAGUACCACGCAUAAAAUAUUUCCAAUUACUGAGAUCUUCGCAUAAUACGGAUAACAAGUUAAAUAUGAUGCAUUCGCGUGCUGUAGUGAGCUUGAUCCUUUGGCUUCGUGCUGCAAAACCAAAUUCGGUGCCUUUUGGAUUUCAGUCCAUCCAGCCAACACAAACCGGUCAGAUUCUAUGAGAUCAUUUACAAGCGUCAGGAAAUGUCUUAGAUGCUGCAAUCAGAAAAUACAAAAGAUUAUUUGGCACAUAGAAGCACAGAAUCUGUUCACAGAUCCACAAGAUUUCUGAUAGGCGAUGAUAUGGAGCAAAAGGCAGCAGGAAUUGUACUUUGGGACAUGCUCUGGUCAUGCUUUGGAACUACAAUUUGCAUCUGUAAAGGGAUCCUUGUGUUUGCAGUUCUGCCGUCGGACCCAAAAGUAAAUGGAACAAAAAGCAAGUUUCAACUUUGGUUACUAUUCUCACUAUUGUUGCAGGCGUACCUCAAAUACCACUUGAGGCCUCAAUUUGGGAUCCUACAAUACUGCAACAGCCUUAGAUUUGCUGCAAUAGAUGAGUACUGUACUGCACUCUGCGUGUUGUUAUAUCCAUUUAGCUGAAAUGUGGCUAAACCAAGAGGUACCGACCAUUGAUCAAGGCAAUGGAAUAUAUGGCACUGAACCAACUGAAACUUCACUGACAUUUCGGUCUGAUGAGGUGCUGCGUCCAAGCCACAAAAAUAAAUGGCAGAUAAUUGUCUCAUGCAGCUCAUUUCAUCUGUUUAGAUCUGUAGGAAUUUGUGUGUGGCCUUGCAAGUUUUACUUCACAUCCUCUUGCUGGGAACCAAACAUUUUAAUCAAUUUUUCUAGGUGUACUUUGGUCAGAAUUUAGCCUGCAAAGAAACUCUAUAAGGAAACAACAAAGGAAAGAUAAUCAAGGUUGGCAAUCCAGUUUAUGUUGUGCAGGCAAUUACUUGUUCUAAUGAAGCCCCAACCUGAAUCAGAGCUUUUCAAUUUCCCAUGUGCAAUAGACCAUAGUAGCAUUUAAACCGAGUUGUCAACAAAACGUGAGACAAAGCAUUUGUCAUAUGUAUUGUGCUCAGAUUAAAAGAAACAACUGGCUGUUAAGACUAUUGGAUGAUGCAAUAAAACAUUUCCCACAUCACACUA